UUCCAAAGACAUCAAGAUGCUGAUCUUGAUGAAGAUCAUAGAUGAAGAUCGUCUAUGAAGACAAAGAGAAUGGAAAGAGCAUCUCUGUGGUUGUAGGAGAUAAUCAGGCAGGAGCCUGCUAGGAAGAUUUCUCAGGAUAGCUACCUAAACAUUAAGCAGUUCAGCUGCUGAAUAGCCAGUGUCAUCUGGAUUUGAAAGGAGACAGAUCUGCAAAAAAUACUGAGAU